GACGAAGGGGGCUAGCGUUGUUCGGAAUUACUGGGCGUAAAGCGCGCGUAGGCGGUUCUUCAAGUCAGGCGUGAAAGCCCCGGGCUUAACCCGGGAAUAGCGCUUGAUACUGUGGGACUUGAGUCCGGGAGAGGAUAGUGGAAUUCCCAGUGUAGAGGUGAAAUUCGUAGAUAUUGGGAAGAACACCAGUGGCGAAGGCGGCUAUCUGGACCGGUACUGACGCUGAGGCGCGAAGGCGUGGGGAGCGAACGGG
rnacentral:rRNA from 1 species